GAAAGGUUUACCGCUCCAGGAGGAGGGCGCGGNCUAUUAGCUAGUUGGUAAGGUAACGGCUUACCAAGGCGAUGAUGGGUAGCUGGUCUGAGAGGAUGAUCAGCCACAAUGGGACUGAGAUACGGCCCAUACCCCUACGGGGGGCAGCAGUGGGGAAUAUUGCGCAAUGGACGAAAGUCUGACGCAGCGAUCUCGCGUGGAGGAUGAAGCAUUACGGUGUGUAAACUCCUUUUUUGGAGGAAGACGACUGACGGUACUCCAAGAAUAAGGGACGGCUAACUACGUGCCAGCAGCCGCGGUAAUACGUAGGUCCCAAGCGUUAUCCGGAUUUACUGGGCGUAAAGCGUCCGUCGCCGGUUUUGUAAGUCUGUAUUCAAAUACCGAAGCUCAACUUCGGAAAGGGUGCAGAUACUGCAUUACUAGAGAAAAAUAGAGGUUAGUAGAAUUUCCGGUGGAGGAGUGAAAUCCGUUGAUAUCGGAAGGAAUACCAAAAGCGAAGGCAGCUAACUAUAUUUUUUCUGACGGUCAGGGACGAAAGCUUGGGUAGCGAACGGGAUUAGAUACCCCGGUAGUCCAAGCCGUAAAUGAUGCUCGCUAGGUGUGUUCGUACUUCGAGUAUGAGCGUGCCGUAAGCUAACGCGUUAAGCGAGCCGCCUGAGUAGUAUAGUCGCAAGGCUGAAACUCAAAGGGAUAGGCGGGGGAACACACAAGCAGUGGAUUGCCUCGAUUAGUUUGAUAAUAAGCAAAGAAUCUUACCAGGGCUUGACAUCCUCGGAAUCCUAUCGAAAGACUGGAGUGCCCCGCUCUGCGGGGAAUCGAGUGACAGGUGCUGCAUGGCCGUCGUCAGCUCGUGCCGCAAGGUGUCUGGUUAAGUCCAGAAACGAGCGCAACCCUCGUCGCUAGUU
rnacentral:rRNA from 1 species